CAGCCUUGAGAAGCCUAGGAGGAAGGUCUAGCCAAGACUUUCUCCUGGAGAUAUAGUGAGUAUAUCUCCAGGCUCCUGAUGACAGGACCCCCACCAAUAGGCAACUGAAGUGAUAGCUGAAGAAGACAUUUGAGCCUCUGUCAAACUUAUCUCACUGGCCAGGGGGCCAAAGACCAGGGCCCAUCAACAUGACUCAAGUUUUUUGAUGUCUUUCCUACACUUUUCCAGUAAGCAUGUCUCUGUUCAGAUGCUUCUAGCAAUUUCCUGCCAAUGUAAACAGUGACCAACCCCAAUGCAAACAGUGACUGCCAUCAGCUAUUAGCUCUGACUCACUUGGUUCCUUUUCUUCCAACCAUCUGAAAUCUCCUGAUAAUAUUUCGUCAAUGGGGAAUCUCUCCCUAUUCUCCAACGUCAUACAGAUAAUCCCUUCCUUGAUUCCUUACCAUACAGGCAAAGAGAAAUGGGAUCCAAAGACAAAUGCCGUGGUCCCUUUCCCUGAAGGAGUUCAGGGAAAAUAAUCAUGAAUAAAUUUGAAGGACUUUAUACAUAACAGAUGUACCAUCAAAGUGCUUUGAAAGGAAAAAUUACUUUUAGAUUAAGGGAUUAUGGAAGAAUUCAUGGAGAAGGUGGCACCAGAAAAUACUGAAUGUUUUCAAAGAAUACAUAUUUGACUGUAUGAAGUCAAUUCAGAGGCUAUCACUCUUUCUUGUCCAUUCUAGUAAUGGUAUUUAUACCUCCUCUGGAUAAUAUCAGCAUUUGUAUGAGCAAAGGAUGAAAAAUAUUCUGAUAAUAAAUAAAAGAAAAUCUUGUUUUGGAAAAUGAACCAUCCUUACCUGGUUUUGGGGAAGUUUUCUUAAUUGUUUUCUUUGUUUUUGCUUCCUGCUUUCCAUUUAGAUGCUUCAUCUUCAUUAUAAAAUGUUCUGAUCCCCUUGGGGUUUAAAGCAUAAGUAAAUGGUUACUAUUAUCAUUUCCAUUGGUAUUAUCUUGGAAAGAAUCUUCGUGAGAGGAACAACUCAAAAGAAGCAUUUAAGCAUUGAAUAUAGCAUUAAAAGAUAGUUCAUUAUAUAUAUGUUUGCAGAAAUAUUUUAUUCCUAAUGGGAAAAGUUUCAUUGCAAUGACGGAUCAGAUUCUAAAAUAUAUGCUCUGACAAACGUUUAUUUUUCAUAUGUUUUUUUCAGAAUAUUUCUAUUCAUGUACCCAGUUUACUUUGGAUGAUGAACAACAAUGUAAGGAAAGAAAGUGGGUUACUGAGAAGACCAGAGGUUCCUCUCCCAUGCCAUAAAUAUUAAUCUGGGAUUAAUGCCCUCAAACUUUCUGACCUCCUACUCCUAAAAUCUCCUUUUCACAAAUUCUUGCAUUCUUUCCCUUUCUUGACUUUCCUACUGAAGGACAAACAGAUAGGGAAGAAAAUUAAGGGAGGGAAAAAUUUAGAUGACUUAGACAUUAAAAAAAUCCCUUCCUUAUUUUUGCAAUGAAAAGUACAGUGACUGUGGAGUCAAAGGAUCUCUGUUUUAUUCCUCACAUUUUUAUCUACAGGAUAUGAUGCCUUGGUUAAAUCACUAAAACUCUUUGUGUCUCAUAUAGGUUAUCCUCCUCUAUAAGUCAAAUGGGAGGAAAUAUGGGAUUAGAAGCAACAUUACCUUCACAUAGGGUAGGCUAUUUCUAUUAAAAAGUCUAGAAAUUGACCUUAAGACUUAAUUAGUCCAGGGGAUGAAGCCUCUAACCAUUGAUGUGGCUUCCCAAUCACCUAAGGCAUAAAAAAUCCCAAAGCAAUUCAAGCUUCUUGCACCUGAAAAACUUCCUACAAUUUCAUGGAGAAGGUGGCACCAACACACUCUUGUGACCAAGCAUAUCACCAUGACAAAUGUGGAAGUGAGGGAUUCUGCAUUUGUCAGAGACAGAGAGACAGAAAUGGAGAAAGAGACACAGAUAGAAUAGCCCUUUGAGAAUAGUGACAAAUUGUUCUCCAGAAUGUCCUGUUCACAAAUCCAACAACAGUUUAUUAAAGUAUCUAUUUUCUCUCA